GAUGAACGCUGGCGGCGUGCCUAAUACAUGCAAGUCGAGCGAACAGACGAGGAGCUUGCUCCUCUGACGUUAGCGGCGGACGGGUGAGUAACACGUGGAUAACCUACCUAUAAGACUGGGAUAACUUCGGGAAACCGGAGCUAAUACCGGAUAAUAUAUUGAACCGCAUGGUUCAAUUGUGAAAGACGGUUUUGCUGUCACUUAUAGAUGGAUCCGCGCCGCAUUAGCUAGUUGGUAAGGUAACGGCUUACCAAGGCGACGAUGCGUAGCCGACCUGAGAGGGUGAUCGGCCACACUGGAACUGAGACACGGUCCAGACUCCUACGGGAGGCAGCAGUAGGGAAUCUUCCGCAAAGGGCGAAAGCCUGACGGAGCAACGCCGCGUGAGUGAUGAAGGUCUUCGGAUCGUAAAACUCUGUUAUUAGGGAAGAACAAAUGUGUAAGUAACUAUGCACGUCUUGACGGUACCUAAUCAGAAAGCCACGGCUAACUACGUG
rnacentral:rRNA from 1 species